rnacentral:rRNA from 1 species
GAUGAACGCUAGCGGGAGGCCUAACACAUGCAAGCCGAGCGGUAGAGAUUCUUCGGAAUCUUGAGAGCGGCGUACGGGUGCGGAACACGUGUGCAACCUGCCUUUAUCAGGGGGAUAGCCUUUCGAAAGGAAGAUUAAUACCCCAUAAUAUAUUUGAUGGCAUCAUUAGAUAUUGAAAGCUUUGGCGGAUAGAGAUGGGCACGCGCAAGAUUAGAUAGUUGGUGAGGUAACGGCUCACCAAGUCGAUGAUCUUUAGGGGGCCUGAGAGGGUGAUCCCCCACACUGGUACUGAGACACGGACCAGACUCCUACGGGAGGCAGCAGUGAGGAAUAUUGGACAAUGGGUUAGAGCCUGAUCCAGCCAUCCCGCGUGAAGGACGACGGCCCUAUGGGUUGUAAACUUCUUUUGUACAGGGAUAAACCUACUCUCGUGAGAGUAGCUGAAGGUACUGUACGAAUAAGCACCGGCUAACUCCGUG